rnacentral:rRNA from 1 species
UGGAUGAUGUGGUUAAUCGAUGCAACGCGAAAACCUUACCACCUUUGACAUGUACGGAAUCCUUUAGAGAUAGAGAGUGCUCGAAAGAGAGCCGUAACACAGGUGCUGCAUGGCUGUCGUCAGCUCGUGUCGUGAGAUGUUGGGUUAAGUCCCGCAACGAGCGCAACCCUUGUCAUUAGUUGCUACAUUCAGUUGGGCACUCUAAUGAGACUGCCGGUGACAAACCGGGAGGAAGUGGGGAUGACGUCAAGUCCUCAUGGCCCUUAUAGGUGGGGCUACACACGUCAUACAAUGGAUGGUACAAAGGGUCGCCAACCCGCGAGGGGGAGCCAAUCCCAUAAAGCCAUUCGUAGUCCGGAUCGCAGUCUGCAACUCGACUGCGUGAAGUCGGAAUCGCUAGUAAUCGUGGAUCAGAAUGUCACGGUGAAUACGUUCCCGGGUCUU